GAUGAACGCUAGCGGCAGGCCUAAUACAUGCAAGUCGAACGAUAGAUGGGAGCUUGCUCUCAUCGAAAGUGGCGCACGGGUGCGUAACGCGUAUGCAACCUACCUUCAUCAGGGGGAUAGCCCGGAGAAAUCCGGAUUAAUACCGCAUAAAAUCACAGGAUUGCAUAAUCCAAUGAUCAAACAUUUAUGGGAUGGAGAUGGGCAUGCGUGUCAUUAGCUGGUUGGCGGGGUAACGGCCCACCAAGGCGACGAUGACUAGGGGAUCUGAGAGGAGGGCCCCCCAAACUGGUAAGGAGCCACGGACCAGACCCCUACGGGAGGCAGCGGUAAGGAAUAUUGGUCAAUGGGGGCAACUCUGAACACGCCAUGCCGCGUGAAGGAAGCCUGCCCUAUGGGUUGUAAACUGCUUUUAUCCGGGAAUAAACCUGCUUACGUGUAAGUAGCUGAAUGUACCGGAAGAAUAAGGAUCGGCUAACCCCGUGCCAGCCGCCGCGGUAA
rnacentral:rRNA from 1 species